rnacentral:lncRNA from 1 species
GAGGGCCUAGUUUUAAGGGUGCCUCUAACUAACUAAAUGCAUCAUAUAGGAGGUGCAGGGUGUUGCAUGAUGUAAGAGGCGGGGUAUUCUUGGUCUGGGGCCACCCUGCAGAUCCGGGCAGCUGACAAGUCUGGGGAAUGUAUCCAGGACAUGUGGCUGGGCUUAAGAGGCUCCACCAUUCAGCUGUGAUCUCGAUUGUUCUUUCCAAGGACAGGCCCCAGUCAGUGGAGGAAGCAAGGGCACUGGGGAGGGAGCACAGAUGUGCUGGGUCUAGUGGAGGAGGGAAGGGGCCCUUCAGGGCAGGUGGCCACUUUUAGAAGAGUGGUUUCCCUUGUCGGUAGUCUUGUCUGUUUCUGGCUCGGGGAAGGGGGAAGUCAUUUCCUGCCUGGUCCCAGGAGUAAGCUAAAAUCUAUUAUUGUCUGUUCAUUUCUUGGUGGAGGGUAGGGAGACAAAUAAGACCAUCUUGAUGUGU